rnacentral:misc_RNA from 1 species
UCCGGUUUGGCACCGGCAGUCCUCCCAGAGUCCUCGGCUCUACCCGGUAGCAACUGGGAGCGGGGGUUGCGCUCGUUGCGGGACUUAACCCAACAUCUCACGACACGAGCUGACGACAGCCAUGCAGCACCUGUCAACGGGCUCCGAAGAGGGGUCCUGGUUUCUCAGGACUUUCCCGUCGAUGUCAAGCCUUGGUAAGGUUCUUCGCGUUGCAUCGAAUUAAUCCGCAUGCUCCGCCGCUUGUGCGGGCCCCCGUCAAUUCCUUUGAGUUUCGGUCUUGCGACCGUACUCCCCAGGCGGAGUGUUUCACGCGUUAGCUGGGCCCCUGAUCCACGUAGACCAAGGGCGAACACUCAUCGUUUACGGCGUGGACUAC